AAUAAGUUUAUUUAUGUGUUUUCUUCCAAUGUUUAACUGUCUGUCUUAUUCGAUUAUUUUUAUAAUUAGUAUUUUUAUUGUUAUUAGAUGAUAAAACAGAAAUAGUACUUUAUGCAUGAUUUAUUUUUUAAUUUUUUUUAUAAUUUUUCAAAUAAGACAAUUGAUCGAUCGUUGGAAAAAAAAAACCCAUAAAUGAAUUUAUU
rnacentral:pre_miRNA from 1 species